AAGUCGUAACAAGGUCUCCGUAGGUGAACCUGCGGAGGGAUCAUUAACACUCUAUGUAAUAUCCAAUACCAAAACCAAACGUGAACUCUUCCCCUCCCUAUCUUGGCUACAGAUUUCUGUACGCGAGGAUAGGCUACCCGCAUUUACAUAGGAAUAUGUAAAUGCCCUUUUUAAUCACCCCAUUUUCACACAACUACAGUUCGCGGCCGAACGGCGGAACUUAACUAACACUAAGAUAGUGCGGCUUGAUUGUCUAUAUCUAUCUUUGAUCUUAUGAAAUAUAAGAACAACUCUUAACAAUGGAUAUCUUGGUUCUC
rnacentral:misc_RNA from 1 species